UGGCUCAGAACGAACGCUGGCGGCAUGCCUUACACAUGCAAGUCGAACGGUAACGCGGGGCAACCUGGCGACGAGUGGCGAACGGGUGAGUAAUGCAUCCGAACGUGCCCAGUAGUGGGGGAUAGCCCGGCGAAAGCCGGAUUAAUACCGCAUACGACCUACGGGUGAAAGCGGGGGACCGCAAGGCCUCGCGCCAUUGGAGCGGCCGAUGUCAGAUUAGGUAGUUGGUGGGGUAAAGGCCUACCAAGCAGACGAUCUGUAGCUGGUCUGAGAGGACGACCAGCCACACUGGGACUGAGACACGGACCAGACUCCUACGG
rnacentral:rRNA from 1 species